GGGACCCGCACAAGCGGUGGAGCAUGUGGUUUAAUUCGACGAUACACGAAGAACCUUACCUGGACUUGACAUAGUAAGAAUGAUUUAGAGAUAGAUUAGUGUCUGCUUGCAGAAACUUGCAUACAGGUGCUGCACGGCUGUCGUCAGCUCGUGUCGUGAGAUGUUGGGUUAAGUCCCGCAACGAGCGCAACCCUCGUCCUUAGUUGCUAA
rnacentral:rRNA from 1 species